GUGGUUUUGAGAAGCGAGUUAUCCAAUAGCAUCCUUUCUCUACAAACAUAGCCUGAGAUCCCACCAGAGCUGCCUUCACCCAGACCACACAUCCGAUGCUGUUGAUUUGAUACUUUGGAGAUGGUGCGAGCCAUUGCUAGACCCGGGGAAAACAUUCUGUCCUGCCCUCCAAUCACGUGACAAUUUCCUUUCGCACUUUGUAACCCAAGUCAGGUACACACUAACUUGUAAAUAUGCAAUCUUGGGUAAGGUUGAGUUAUGUAAAUCACACACUCCCCUUCACAUUAUAUUUCCUCAUCACCCCAGUGUCUAGUGUACAUACACUGGGAGACGAAGUACUUCUAAUUUGAAGAAUGAGAGAGAAACGUCCUUGUUGAUUACACUACAAGGCAGACACUCCGAUGAGAAGAGAGGACCUGGUGCUUUUCUUGCUGUUUCAACGAAAAUCUACAAAAACUGAAGAGUUUUUGAAAAGGAAGACAAGACAACUGCCUUUUCUUUACUUAUGACGAGGCUUUCUCCGUGUAGCGUCUGGAGGUUUGGAGUGUCUCUGCCCCAAAGCAAAGCUUUCUUUGCAGCCGCCAGUGAGAUUACAUAUGGGCUAUGAAUUGAGAAGGUUUUCCUAGACAGGGGACUGGAUUGCACUUGGUCUUGUGGCUGCAAAACCUGGGGAUUUCCCAUUGGCUGCGACCUGCUUUUAAGAAUGAAAAAGAUUCAGUGGAGAGAGAAGUGAAGGGCUGGGAUUGUAGCUCAGUAUUUGAGCAUUUGUCCAGCGUACGUGAGGCUCUGGGUUCAAUCCCCGUCAUCACAAGGAAAGGGAAAAAGAAGGAUUUUUGAAACUGUAGAAAAGAUUUUUUUUUUUGGUUCUUUUUUUUCGGAGCUGGGGACCGAAUAGAAAAGAUUUUAAAAUCAGACUGCUGUCCUACACAAAUCCUGUUUAAAGGGAUUUUAAGAGUUACAUUUUAGUGUAUCAUAGAAUACACAGGCCUUUGCCUAAACACUCUGUAUCUUUGUGUCGAUAAACUUCUCCCCUUGAUGGCGAAGCUUAUUCCUAUUUGGCCUAGACUGUGUUCAAGUUUUCUUUUGUUUUUUUUCCUGAGGGUUUGUUUUUUCUUGGUCUGCUAAGGAAUUUGUGAACUGUAUCUUUGGUAUACCUUUUAUUAAACUGCACUGUUUUGUUUAGUCAAGGAUGCGCCCCUUGGUAUCUGCCGUGCAGAGAUUCACAUGACUCAGGGAUCAAUCGUUCCUGUAGCACGUGGAGAACGGCCCUUUGCCGUGACUUUCCUACGGAGAAGUGCACCACACAGCUCAUGGAAGUGUUCCGGCUCCUUGCCACUUCAGCGGACUCGUGCCAAUUGGAGGAGCCUGUGGUUUCUUCUGGAUCGAACGGGCGCUGCUGCUUUGUGUUUGGCGACACCAUGGAACUUCACUUGUGAUAUCCUGACGAUGAAGAUUGGCACCACAGCAAAGAACUACGAACAGGUCCACGUCCCCCUUGUCCUAUUCACCAUCUUCUUCCCCUACCUUUGGUUAGUGGGCUAACCAAACAGGGGAGGUUGACAUGUUUACGGACCCUUAUUAAAGUAGGUUUGGAAAAACAUAAGUCCACAGAGCCUGACAC
ensembl:lncRNA AABR07002683.1